ensembl:snRNA U6 U6 spliceosomal RNA
GGGCUCAGUUUGGCAGCCCAUAUAUUAACACUGGAACAAUCCAGAGAAGACUGGCAUGGCCUGUGUGCCAGGAUGCCAGGCAAAUUCACGAAGCGUUCCACUGAAAG